rnacentral:lncRNA from 1 species
CUGGUGGAUGAGAGCCGGAUGUCCCAGCAUCCUGUAAUGAAAAAAAUAAAACAAUAUUAGCAAGUUUCGAUUCGGAGAUAUAUCUUUCAAUAUGGAGAUAUAUCUUUCGAUAUACUCCUUCGAUUCUCGAACAGAUUAUUUCUACACUUUCUAUUCAAUGAUACGGAGCUAUAGACACCUCAGAUCUAUCAAUUUGAUUGAAUUUUUAAUCCCUAGAUCUCUUUUUCAAACUCAAACCUAAAUAUACGAAGCUUCAAAAUA